UUAUAAGCUUUGAACAAGAGGAUUUGACCAGGGACUGUUUUUAGAGAGAAGCGGGUCGGUGCAACGCUUUAGCAGUUGGUCAAAGAGUAGCUUGGGAGCUGUCCUACUGAAAUUUUUAGUAAGUAAGACCGGAUAUCUAUUCGUUAACGCAGAUCAAAGAGGGGAUAAAAGCCCAAUUUAGGUGGUACCACGGCACUGUCGUCCUAAGC
rnacentral:ncRNA from 1 species